rnacentral:tRNA from 1 species
GUCUCAGUUGGUAGAGCGCUCCACUUGUAAUGGAGAGGUCCCGGGUUCGAUACCCGG